rnacentral:lncRNA from 1 species
GCACAUCUUUACCCACAAGUCGCGUAAAAGCUCAAAAGAACUUUAGACCCAACCACGCUUGUGCUGAUCAGGCACAAUACCACACUUCCGAGGUGUGAUUGCAUAGGGACGCUACGAGGCCUUUACAAAGAUUCGCUAGCAAUGUGGUAACCCGCUAAGGUUUCAGGUCGAAGCGAAACAUAGCAGUCCCCUAGAGGGUAUAGUGUCUUAGCCAAGCCCACUUCCCAAGAGAGCGAGUGCUAUAUCCCAUCAACGCCUCCCCUCUUGCCCUUUCGGUAAGGUUACCCCAAACUAGAGUUUCUGAUUAUUCAGCCAAGACCAGAGCCAUUUAGUCUUGUGGUAGCACUGUUUUCCUGGGUGGUCGCUCCAUGUUCCAAUUAAAUAUGGUAAUCUUGUAUUAACAAAAGGUAUAUCAUAAAUGGAAUAAGUUCACCAAGUCGUUCGUUAGAACCACCAUAACCCAAGUAUAGCAGCUAAGCAUAGCUACCCAACAAAAGGGUAAACCCAGGUUGGCAAGGAAUAAUCAUAAAAACUAGGCAAACCUUAAUAGGACCCAUCAAAUUUAAUGCAAGCAUAUGCAAUAGUGAUUAAACAAAGUUAUUGGGACAAAAGCACAAGGACACACUUGCCUUUCUCCAGCGACAAGUUCCUUCUUACUGCUCUUCGGCUCUUGCUCUCUUGAAACUCUUAAUCUUCAAAGCUUUCGAACAGCGAUCCUUCUACUCGAAGCAAUCACCGGCACAGUCAUACAAGCAAGCAAACAAAUACAACUAAGAGCAGUACACCAAAACAAAAGGAAAGCUUUAAAAGAGCGUACUAACGACAAGGCUCGAUCUAAGGUCACGCGAACGUAAGGAACGCUUAAAACGGAACUAUGGUUGAAAAGAUAAAGCUAUCGAGAGUUUUGAAUUAUAAAAGAAAGAUAAGAGCUACAAGCUUUAUUUAUUUUAGUUGAGAAAAGCAAUGUAAAGAUAUUUCAGAGAAAUAUCCUUAGUUAGAAUUAAUCAAGUCAUAUUUAUAUUUUCAUAAGAAAAGACGGUGUAAAGCUUACUCCAAUUUUAUUUAUAAAUAUUUGAGUACAAUUUAUGCAAAUUAAACAUUUAAUUUAAAAAUAAGAUACAUGUAGACAUCUAAGCGUAUAGCUUUACAUCUCGAGUUCAACUAAGUAGAUUAAAUUAAAAACACAUUUAUAUUUAUAUUAGCCAAAUUAAUAUUUAAUUAUGAAAACUCGAGAUAUAACCUAUACAGAUUUUAUUUAGAAAACAAAUUGAAUAAACAUUAAUCAAAUUGAAUUUAAUUUAUGAAACGCCGAGGUAUAACUCUUAGUGGCUUUUACUUGGAAGAAUUAUUUAGAUAGGCAUUAAGCCAAUUAACUUUAGUUUAUGAAAAACCGAUAUAUAACCUAAUUGGCUUUUAUUUAUAAGAGGGUAUGAAGUAGGCAUUAAUCAAAUUAACAAUUAUUAUGAAAAACGAUGUUUAACACUAAAUAGAUUUUAUUUAGAGAAGAACUCGUUUGACAGGCAUUAAUCAAUUUUAAUAUAAAUUUUAUUUUCAAAAACAUGUGUGAAGGAAAACAUUACCACUAACGUGUAAUUUACAUCAUUAUAAAUCUAACGCAACUUGAACGGACAAAAACGGAAUUAAAACAUAGAAUCUAUGGGUUAAACAAGGUUGUAGGGGCCUAAACGUAAUUAACCGUAGACUUGGAGGGUUAGCUGAGAAGAUUACCAAGACUCAGAGAAUAGUCACUGCGAAUAGAUGGAUCUUCGGGGCUAGAUCUGCAAAAGAGGAUGGCUUGGAUCAGAUUGCAAGGAACUGAAAGUUACAGGGGGUUUUCUGCAAGGUUUGAAAGACACAAGAAAUAUGAACAAAAAUUAACAGAUUCUCCAGGGGCUAGAUUGAGAAGUGGCGCCCCAUCUUCCUCCUCACGCCAGGAGCAUGGCGCAGCUCCUGGCCGGCCCGGUUCUGCCGGCGGCGACGGCCGAGGCCGAGGCAGCUUGCGCGAGUGGCGGGUGGAUGCGCCAGCAGGGAGGCUCGGCCGGCGGCUCCGGCGGCGCACAGGCGGCGGCGCAGCGUGCAGGCGGCGGGCGGACGAACGGACCAGCAGCCAUGUUACGGUUGUGCACAGAAACAGGAAACAGAAGAAAGAAGAAAGAGAGAGGAAGAUGGAAAAGCCGGAAACGAAGUCCGAUCUCGCGCAUGAAUAGCAAAAUGGAACGAUAUCGACGAGACGAACAAGAUGGUGUGCUCACCUUCGGCCAGAGAUGAACAAUGGCGGCAGAAAAGCUCGCCCGAGUUGGGGAAGACGACGGAGCCGACAUCGGAUUCAUGCAAUCCACGACACCACGGCGUAGAGCUCGAAGAGAGGAACUCCAUGGUGGUGUCGGUUUUCGCCGGAAGUCCACGGUUUCGCCGGAAAAGCUCGCCGGAGUUUGACGAAGACCGAACUUUGACUUCAGAUCUACGGAGUUAGGAGAGGUAACUCGUGAAAAGGUUUGCAGAUCUGAAAUCCUCGCGUCGAGACGAACGCGGUGAUAUAUAUAUAGGCCACACUCGGAAAAAGAUAUUUUCGAGUUGACUUUUUAUUUUCGGAAUUUCUGAUUUUAUUUUUCUGCGCGAAAACAAUUUCAGAAAUAGCUGGACUCGUUUUCUAAAGCGAGAAAAAUAUCUAGAAAAUUCCGAAAAAUCUGAGAUAAAUCUCAGAGAUGAAUUGGGAUGCAAGGAAUCCAAAUAAAAUACUUGGAGCUCGUGAAAAGGAUUUUAGAACCUUCCAAAAAUUGGAUUUAGCUCUAGAAAAAGGAAAAUAAUUUCCGGAAAAAGAUGGAAAAUUCUCACAAGGGUUUGGGCAACGUCUAAACGUAUUUUCAAACUUUUGCACUCAAGAAACGCCAAGAUGCAGUGACAUGAAUGCACAGACAUAGAACAACAUUAUUUAAUUUAUAAAAGCAAACAAUUAUUUUUCCUAUACUAAAUUUCCUGUAAAGAAAAAUAAAUGUUGGGAAAAUUUUAAAAUUAUGAGAAAAUUAUUGUUUAUUUAUUCUUUUUAUUCACAUCCUGAAAUUCGGAAAUUUCAGGGUGUGACAACACUACCCCCCUUAACAAGAAUCUCGUCCCGAGAUUCGCAAAGGCUAGCAAGAGACAAAGGUUUAGGUGGGUAGCAUCCAACACUUAUUAGCUUCUUCCUAGAUCGUUCAUCCUUACGUAAGCUUCUCAAUCAUGCUUCUUUAUGCUUCACUACAUCACAUAAAACACUUCAGGGAUACUUAGUCUAAUUCCUCUUUUAAGUAUCCUUUCCUUCCCUCUGCUUCUUUGGCCCAUCUUUGAAGAAUUUUCUUCAUUUCUUGGUAAAGUGAUUUGAAUAGAGCUGAAUGGCUUCCAUCUGGCUCGACUGUCACCCUUCAAGUCUUCAUACCCAUUCUUAAGUCUUCUUAUCCAUCUGGUCCAAACGCUUCUUGGAACAUUGUCUGAUGAAGUGUCCCUCUUCUUUGCGGUAGAAACAUGUUUUUCUUGCUUUGGUACUUUGGCAACUGGAUGUGGUAUGGGAAUUGGGCAUUGGAAAUUGAUGGCAUUCUUUCCUAACUGAGGCGUCCUGAUCAUUUGUCCUAACAAAGAGGCCAACUGAUGUUGUCGGGUUGAAGGUAGGGCUAUUGGAUCCUUGGCCCAGGGUUGAUCAUCUUUCUCUUUUGCACACCAACUAACAAGAUGUUCAUUUUCUCCCCACUUGAGGCAAUAUAUUUUGGCUCCAGCGGACCUGGUCCACUUACACUUUAUUGGAUAGUUAUUGGUAUAAUGGCCUUCUUCACCGCAUCUGCAGCACAGUCUUUUAUUACAUCCUUCUCGUCCUCCUUUCUGCUCCAUGGUAGCUAUCGGUGGAAUAGCUUGUGCAUCAGGAUUCUUCUUGAUGGGGUUGCCAUGUGGAUAGUGAUCAACUUUAGGCUGUGGUUGGUGGGAACUAGGCCGAGUACCGUUAUCCGCCAAUGAUUGUGGUAACUCCAUUUUCUCUUGACUUGCUCUACUAGUUGGCUUCUUGGCUCGCCUACUCCUCCAGGGCUGAAAUUCUUUGAAAGAGAUACUCCAACACUCAAGGUUCAUAGUCUGAGUACUAUCUUCAUCUUGGGUAACUCCCUCUAGGGAUGGCACUUGAGCAUACAACUUCCUCUUCUUAUUGAUAUCUAAAUGAUAAUGUUGUCUGGCUUCAGCUAUCAUUAGGCUAUCUUCUUUCUGGAGACAUGGAAGACGAUGGUGUUCCUGGAAUCUUAACAUCUUCAUAUUGUCUCUCCAUUUCCAGCUCCGAUAUUCUAUGGCUUCUCUUGUUCCUUUGACAGUCCCAGGCUUCAGCAACUUGCCUCUUCACUGGUCCAGUGAGAAUUCUAGCCUUGGUUAUCUCCAUGUUAUGAGGGGAUGAUGUGUCAGUCUGCAUCCUUCCUUGUAAGACUUGAGCCUGCAUGGCUAAUAGCUUCUCGUUGUUGAACGGUAGUGGAGCAAACGAAACGUGAUGGUCAUCACUGGUGAUAGGGUUGUGGUUCCGAGGAAGUGAGGCUUGCUCUGUGAUAUACUGAUGGAUAUUGACCAUGGUUUGAGACAUUUCUUGUAAAACCUGAGUUUGUGUUGCCAUAUACUUUAACAUCUUGCGUUCGAAUGAUGCGGCUACAGGUGGAAUGUUAAGAUCUCCUUCAUUGGCUCUAUCUUCAUGAUUUUCAUUGGGACUCGCCAUUUGGUUGCGUGAUAAGGAUAGGAUCAGUAGAAAAUAGGUAAUGGAUAAAAUUGCAGAACAAGGUAGAGCACUUCAUGAUAUCUUCGUCUUUUCUUGGGUCGUCAUCCGAGUAAGGUAGAAGGAAGGAUAGAAAGUAGCGAGGUGGCAAGAAACUAGAGUAGGACCCCUUUUUUUUUCCUUCGACUUGCUUCUACUCCGACGGUGGUGGUGGCGAUAGCAUCUGCUUGUUGACAUUGGUGUCGCCUUCACUUUCUCUCUUGAUGAGAAUUGGGAAAGGUUACAAGGAUGUGGGAGGUACAAGUGGAUUCAAAGAGAGAGAAAAACAAAGAGGAGGGAGACAACAAGAUUCUUAUGGUAGAGUGGAUAGUCUUUCAUCUUUGCUUGUUGCGAGUAGAAUCUCCCUACUUUCUUCAUCUUCUUGGUUCUUUUAAUCAUCAUUAGAGUAAGAUGGAGAUCAGAGUAAAGCCUUCUAUUCUUCAACUUGCUUCUAGCGAGACGGUGGUGGUGAUGUUAACUCCUGCUUGUUGACGUUGGUGUUGGCUUUAGUUCUCUCUUUUCUGAUGCCCUUCAUUGGCUCGGGUAGAAAGGAAUUGAUGACAAGGAUAUGGGAGAUUCAAAAGAAGAACCCAGCUAGGCAACUGAUGUCAUUGUAGAUAGAAGACCCACAAUACAUCAACAAUCAUUACAAAGAAACAAAUCAGACAAUUUCAUAAAGACAAGCAUCAUCAUGCAAACACAGAAUUCCACCAGUCAACACAGAGUCAAGAAACGAUGCUAAACGUUGUUAAUAAGGCUGCAAAGGGGUACUCCUAAGCAGGGGUUGUUUGGUAAGGCUUCAACGUGCUUGAUGUAGGCAUCCUUCAGCUUGCCCAGCAUUGACUCCAGCUGUUUGGUGCACGUUUCAGUUGCUUAGGCUUGACUUCUAGUGGUGAACUGGUAACUUCAUUCUCCAGAUGUCUUGAACAGGCUUUAAGACAUGUGGCAUGGAUCAUCUAGAUAUUUUUGAAUAAAAUGAGACAUUUUGGAAUCAAAAGUCAAGGAAAAGAUUCCAAGGUAGCAUUUAUUUCAAAAGCAACGAGAGGUACAAUGGGGAAGAUGGAUAUACUGAAAAUAAAGUUAAGGAAGAGAUAGGUUUACAAGGAUAAGUCUGUAAGGAAAACAUUAAGGAGAUAAAUGAACAGGGGAUGAGAGAGUAGCAAUAUCACUAAGAAAUCAAGGAGGUGUAUUGCAUCAAACAGGUAAGAUCAUUCAUCAAGAAGGAGAUGCAUGAUAAAGAUCAAGCAGUGAUCAAGGAGAGAGGAAAUAAAUAGAUAAGGAUUGAGGGUCUAACAUUUGCAAAACAAGAAGUGCAAAGGAAAAGAGCUCAAGUUAUCAAGCAGGAUUGAGAACAGAAAAUGAUUAAGGAGUGAGAAUAUUUUUCAGAAAGGUCAAGGAUAAGGCAGGAAUUGUUUUUAUAGUAAAGCAGACCUUAAGAAGCGGCCAUUGCUAUCUAGGCUUACGCCCUACAGUCGAUACGGCUCUGAUACCACUUCUGUCACACCCGGUUUUAAGGACAAAACCAAGUGUUACCUAUAUGUAUGCCAGGAUCAAGUUUCAUACAUAUAGUGACAUCAUUAGUGAAUAACAGCAACAGUAUCACGUAAAAAGAUACAAAGACUUACGAAACCAUCAGAGAUAUACAGCUUAAUUAUGGAAACGGAGGCUCCAAACUUCACAGGCAAUCGACUGGGGGUUGCGUACGCCUAGAACUUAGCACCAUCUUCACAACAACUUCAUAGCAGCUUCUUCUUCUGAGCAAUGUUGUUUAUAGCAAGGGUGAGCACUUGUCGUACUCAGCAAGUGUGAGGAGAAUAUGAAUACAAGGGUUAAACAAGGAAAGGCUGACUGGUUGACUGCAUUAAGCAUUUUUAGUUGGUCAAAUUUUAUUAGCACCUGAUUACUAAGGUAUAAGUAUAUACCAACCCACAAUUAAUAGAAACGUAAACAUAAGCCAUAAGCACAUGGCAGAAACAUAACCAUAAGCCAUAAGCACGAUUUAAGUCCAUCUUCAAGUAUAUUAAUCAUGUGAGGGUCCAGGCCGCUCUUAACCGUGAGCACGGCUGAUCGAUCAGUUUUACACUCUGCAGAGGUCGCACAUCUUUACCCACAAGUCGCGUAAAAGCUCAAAAGAACUUUAGACCCAACCACGCUUGUGCUGAUCAGGCACAAUACCACACUUCCGAGGUGUGAUUGCAUAGGGACGCUACGAGGCCUUUACAAAGAUUCGCUAGCAAUGUGGUAACCCGCUAAGGUUUCAGGUCGAAGCGAAACAUAGCAGUCCCCUAGAGGGUAUAGUGUCUUAGCCAAGCCCACUUCCCAAGAGAGCGAGUGCUAUAUCCCAUCAACGCCUCCCCUCUUGCCCUUUCGGUAAGGUUACCCCAAACUAGAGUUUCUGAUUAUUCAGCCAAGACCAGAGCCAUUUAGUCUUGUGGUAGCACUGUUUUCCUGGGUGGUCGCUCCAUGUUCCAAUUAAAUAUGGUAAUCUUGUAUUAACAAAAGGUAUAUCAUAAAUGGAAUAAGUUCACCAAGUCGUUCGUUAGAACCACCAUAACCCAAGUAUAGCAGCUAAGCAUAGCUACCCAACAAAAGGGUAAACCCAGGUUGGCAAGGAAUAAUCAUAAAAACUAGGCAAACCUUAAUA